rnacentral:misc_RNA from 1 species
CAGAGUUCAUGCCCUUACGGGUAGAUCUCCCACCCUUGAAAUACAUACCUUUGUUGCUUUGGCGGGCCGCGGUCCUCCGCUACCGGCUCCGGCUGGUAUGUGCCCGCCAGAGGACCCCAACUCUUGUUUUUAGUGAUGUCUGAGUACUAUAUAAUAGUUA